GACGAACGCUGGCGGCGUGCUUAACACAUGCAAGUCGAACGGAAAGGCCCUGCUUUUGUGGGGUGCUCGAGUGGCGAACGGGUGAGUAACACGUGAGUAACCUGCCCUUGACUUUGGGAUAACUUCAGGAAACUGGGGCUAAUACCGGAUAGGAGCUCCUGCUGCAUGGUGGGGGUUGGAAAGUUUCGGCGGUUGGGGAUGGACUCGCGGCCUAUCAGCUUGUUGGUGGGGUAGUGGCUUACCAAGGCUUUGACGGGUAGCCGGCCUGAGAGGGUGACCGGCCAAAUGGGGAAUGGGAUACGGCCCAGACCCCUACGGGAGGCAGCAGGGGGGAAUAUGGCAAAAGGGGCGGAAGCCUGAUGAAGCAACGCCGGGGGCGGGAUGACGGCCUUGGGGUUGUAAACCGCUUUCGCCUGGGACGAAGCGGGGGGGACGGUAAUGGGUAAAGAAGCACCGGCUAACUACGG
rnacentral:rRNA from 1 species